rnacentral:tRNA from 1 species
UCCUGGUUAGCCGGUAGAGCGCUUCAUUGGAAAUGGAGAACCCCCUGGUGCGAUUCCAGGACCAGGCG